CAAAUUAUCUUACCUCAUUCGCACUUACAGUUUUGAGAGACAUUACAAUAAAGAGAUGGUCUUGUAAAAACAAAUGACAAUCUCAAGUAGUUUAGGUAGUUUGCAGAGAGAUUAAGAUAUGAUAACACCCAAAUUUUAAAGACAAAUCAGCACAAGCCCGACAAUUACGAAUUUUUGGUCGCAAUCUUACUUGACCAUUUUUUUCUCCUUUUCCAACAAUUAGAACUCUCAUAACCCACUUCUCAAAAGAAUAUAAAACAUAUUCAUAACUUAUAUGAAAAAAGAAAAAUAAUGAAACAUGUUCUUGUAGAUUUGUUUUCUGGUCAACAAAACAUAUAAUUAUUUAUUAAGCAUGCAUUCAUCUUUUACAAUCCUAAAAA
rnacentral:lncRNA from 1 species